CGCGGCCUAUCAGCUUGUUGGUGGGGUAAUGGCCUACCAAGGCGACGACGGGUAGCCGGCCUGAGAGGGCGACCGGCCACACUGGGACUGAGACACGGCCCAGACUCCUACGGGAGGCAGCAGUGGGGAAUAUUGCACAAUGGGGGAAACCCUGAUGCAGCGACGCAGCGUGCGGGAUGACGGCCUUCGGGUUGUAAACCGCUUUCAGCAGGGAAGAAGCCGUAAGGUGACGGUACCUGCAGAAGAAGUACCGGCUAACUACGUGCCAGCAGCCGCGGUAAUACGUAGGGUACGAGCGUUGUCCGGAAUUAUUGGGCGUAAAGAGCUCGUAGGUGGUUGGUCACGUCUGCUGUGGGAACGCAACGCUUAACGUUGCGCGGGCAGUGGGUACGGGCUGACUAGAGUGCAGUAGGGGAGUCUGGAAUUCCUGGUGUAGCGGUGAAAUGCGCAGAUAUCAGGAGGAACACCGGUGGCGAAGGCGGGACUCUGGGCUGUGACUGACACUGAGGAGCGAAAGCGUGGGGAGCGAACAGGAUUAGAUACCCUGGUAGUCCACGCCGUAAACGGUGGGCGCUAGGUGUGGGAUGCUGUUCACGUGUCCCGUGCCGUAGCUAACGCAUUAAGCGCCCCGCCUGGGGAGUACGG
rnacentral:rRNA from 1 species